AGAGUUUGAUCAUGGCUCAGAACGAACGCUGGCGGCAUGCCUAACACAUGCAAGUCGAACGCGUGUAGCAAUACACGAGUGGCGGACGGGUGAGUAACGCGUGGGAACCUGCCCAGUGGUAGGGAAUAACUGCGGGAAACUGCAGCUAAUACCCUAUGAGCCCUACGGGGGAAAGAUUUAUCGCCAUUGGAGGGGCCCGCGUCGGAUUAGCUAGUUGGUGAGGUAACGGCUCACCAAGGCAACGAUCCGUAGCUGGUCUGAGAGGAUGAUCAGCCACACUGGGACUGAGAUACGGCCCAGACUCCUACGGGAGGCAGCAGUGGGGAAUAUUGGACAAUGGGGGAAACCCUGAUCCAGCAAUGCCGCGUGAGUGAAGAAGGCCUUAGGGUUGUAAAGCUCUUUCGGCGGGGACGAUGGUGACGGUACCCGCAGAAGAAGCCCCGGCUAACUUCGUGCCAGCAGCCGCGGUAAUACGAAGGGGGCUAGCGUUGUUCGGAAUCACUGGGCGUAAAGGGCGCGUAGGCGGCAUGACAAGUCAGGUGUGAAAGCCCCGGGCUCAACCCGGGAAUUGCACUUGAUACUGUCGUGCUUGAGUUCGGGAGAGGAUGGCGGAAUUCCCAGUGUAGAGGUGAAAUUCGUAGAUAUUGGGAAGAACACCGGUGGCGAAGGCGGCCAUCUGGACCGAAACUGACGCUGAGGCGCGAAAGCGUGGGGAGCAAACAGGAUUAGAUACCCUAGUAGUCC
rnacentral:rRNA from 1 species